rnacentral:rRNA from 1 species
AGCGAACGCUGGCGGCAGGCUUAACACAUGCAAGUCGAGCGGGCAUCCUUGUGGUGUCAGCGGCAGACGGGUGAGUAACGCGUGGGAACGUGCCCUUCGGUUCGGAAUAACUCAGGGAAACUUGAGCUAAUACCGGAUACGUGCGAGAGCAGAAAGGUUUAUCUGCCGAAGGAUCGGCCCGCGUCUGAUUAGCUAGUUGGUGAGGUUACGGCUCACCAAGGCGACGAUCAGUAGCUGGUCUGAGAGGAUGAUCAGCCACACUGGGACUGAGACACGGCCCGGACCCCUGCGGGAGGCGGCAGUGGGAAAUAUGGGACACGGGGGCCAACCCGGCCCCACCCGUGCCGCGUGAGGGUGGCGGCCUUUGGGGUUGAAAAGCUCUUUUCUCGGGAGCGAUAAGCGCGAACCCGGAGAAAUAGCCCCCGGCUAACUUCGUG